AACACGGACCAAGGAGUCCUGUGCGCGCGCGAGUCCCCGGGACUUGAUUAGGCCCGAGGGCGCAAUGAAAGUAAAAGUCGUCUCCGGCGACCGAGUCGGGAUGGCUCUAAUUAUAAAGAGCCCGCACCGACGGCCCGUCUUUUGCGGUGACGUAUAGGCGGAGCUAGAGCGCGCGCCCUGGGACCCGAAAGAUGGUGACCUAUGCCCGGACAGGACGAAGCCAGAGGAAACUCUGGUGGAGGUCCGUAGCGGUUCUGACGUGCAAAUCGAUCGUCGGAUCUGGGCAUAGCAGCGAAAGACUCAUCGAACCGUCUAGUAGCUGUUUCCCUCCGAA
rnacentral:rRNA from 1 species